UAAUUUCGAAAGACAACUAUGGGAUUUUAUUGUUUGGAUAGUGUCGAAAGAAAUUGUUUGCCAAUUUGGUAAAUUUUCCACCCAUUAAUCCACCUACAUAAUUACAGAUUUAGUAGUCGAUGUAUGGUAAUGUAUUGUAGUUCAUCAUACUAGUAUGAAACAAAUGGAACUCAAGUAAGUCUCAGUUGAAAUGAACCUCUUAUAUAUUGCAUGUUCGUGGUGGACUGCUCUAUCUCAAUGGAAUUGCUCAGCGAAAAGAUUUUUUAGUAGAGAAGCCAGUAUAUACAUUUGACGUAAUCAUGAGUUUCCUAUCACUUAUCUCUCUAUGUUUCCCUCCCCUAGUGCCUGACAAAAUUUAUUCUAAGAAGAAAUGGAGAUAAGCUGCUGGGAUGAAUAAUGUAUAAAAAUUAAUCUGGUGGAAUUGUUUUUUGUUUUUUUUUUUUUUUUUGAGGGCUGGUUUCUUCUCUAAAUCUAAAGUUGGGAGUCAAUAGUAAAUUGACAAUUUGUUGUUCUUCCUUGGAUUUUGAUUUGCAGUAUGUUCCUAGAGUCCAUGUCUUCGUGUUAGGGGACAACCGAAACAACAGCUGCGACUUCCACGAUUGACUUUCAAACAGAUCAAACUAAAUGGAAGAAAUUGUUUGUAAAUCACAUGGCUAUAUGUAGGAAUUGGUUGAUUAAUCUCUUAAACUAACGUCACAUGUAACCUUUUAUUAGUUGGUUUGUAUAUCAAGUGGACAUGAAAUUAUUCAAUUCUCACUCGAUUGAAUCGAAUAUACAUUGAGAACCACCAUGUGGGUUAGGGACAUUGUUGCCAGAGUUCUCGUUGCUAUGGCUUUUCCAUUUAUGUUAUCUUUUGCUUUUCUCUUUUUUAUUCAAUAGUUAAGUAUAUUUUGUAAUAGAAUAAAAUUAUGUAUUAGCUUGUUCCAUUAUUAUUCAAGGGAUUGAUUAGUACGAUAUUGUCAAGAGAUUGCAUUGUUGAAA